CCUACGCGCGGCAGCAGUGGGGAAUAUUGGACAAUGGGCGAAAGCCUGAUCCAGCCAUGCCGCGUGUGUGAAGAAGGCCUUCGGGUUGUAAAGCACUUUCAGUGGGGAAGAAAGCCUGGGGGCUAAUACCCUCGAGGAAGGACAUCACCCACAGAAGAAGCACCGGCUAACUCCGUGCCAGCAGCCGCGGUAAUACGGAGGGUGCGAGCGUUAAUCGGAAUUACUGGGCGUAAAACGCGCGUAGGCGGUCUGAUAAGCCGGUUGUGAAAGCCCCGGGCUCAACCUGGGAACGGCAUCCGGACCUGUCAGGCUAGAGUGCAGGAGAGGAAGGUAGAAUUCCCGGUGUAGCGGUGAAAUGCGUAGAGAUCGGGAGGAAUACCAGUGGCGAAGGCGGCCUUCUGGACUGACACUGACGCUGAGGUGCGAAAGCGUGGGUAGCAAACAGGAUUAGAUACCCCAGUAGUC
rnacentral:rRNA from 1 species